rnacentral:rRNA from 1 species
AGUGAACGCUGGCGGCGUGCUUAACACAUGCAAGUCGAACGAGAACGGAAUAUAGCUUGCUAUAUUUGUCAGCAAAGUGGCGCAAGGGUGAGUAAUGUAUAGAUAACCUGCCCUUAAGAAAGGAAAAACAGUUGGAAACGACUGCUAAUGCCCUAUAUGCCUUUAAUACAUAAGUAUGCAAGGGAAACGCUUUAGUGCUUAAGGAUGGGUGUGUAUGGUAUCAGCUUGUUGUUGAGGUAAUGGCUCACCAAGGCUAUGACGGCGAACUGGUUUGAGAGGAUGAUAAGUCACACUGGAACGGAGACACGGUCCAGACUCCUACGAGAGGCAGCAGUGGGGAAUAUUGCACAAUGGACGAAAGUCUGAUGCAGCAACGCCGCGUGGAGGAUGACACAUUUCGGUGCGUAAACUCCUUUUAUAUAGGAAGAUAAUGACGGUACUAUAUGAAUAAGCACCGGCUAACUCCGUGCCAGCCGCCGCCGUAA